CUUUUGGGGGUGAUGCCUGUGGAUUUUUAGGAUUUUUAGCUUUUCGUAGAUUUUAGAAGUAGUUGUGUAGUAAACGUAGAUUUUAAUGUAACUGUAUAAUCUGUCACACUUUAUAACAGUAGCUUACACAUACCCAACCCUAUGACCCCAUUUCAUAUCGAACUUCCUAGAUUCUUUUAGUUUGUUUAGGCUUCUCUCAAGGCAGGCCUUCAUUCUGUUUAAGACCAUUUGCACCCCAGGCCUCUACAACAAAAUAUACCCUAGUCAAGUCAACCUUCAAAUACCUUUUUUUGAGAUGCAGUGUUUGCCACAGUGUCUCUACCACCUGAACCCUGGGAUACAACCCCUGCUUCGUGGUGGGGUGUUUAUUCCCUGGGAUGGGGCCCCGGGGUGAAGGAGCUCCCCUCAGCCUGAAGGGGACCCUCAGGAAAUGGCGGCCAGCAAAGCUAAAGCUUUGGGGGGUGCCCAACCCCGAGCCUGCCACCCCUGCUGUGCCCAGAGAGAAUUUUUGCCUUUCCUUCCCUUCUUUUCAUAUUUUUCCUGACUUUUUUUCCCAGCUUUCUUUUCCCCUCGGUUCGUGUUUCUGUGGCAGGGCCUGGCACCAGUGCCCGGCUCUGUCAUGGCCACUGUGGCCCCCUCAGAGCCCGACCUGGCCCCGUGGCCUCUGGAGGGCUCUGGGAAUUGCGGUGUCUCGAACCCGCGGUUUUGAGCGGUGUGGGUGCGUUAAAGCUUGCAGGAAACACCGUGACAGGGGCCACUGCCAGAGGUCACCCACAGAUGACUCCUGCCAGCCUUGGAAAUCAGGGGCACUUCCUCUCUGUGUGAGCCAAAUGCUUUGUUCACCUCAAGAACCUGGUCACCCCCGUCCUCCUGACGCACGCGGCCCUGUCCUUGUCCCCCACGUCACAGUGACACAAGGCCUGUGUGCCCCAGAGAGUGGCCUGACCUCCAGCUGAGCUCAUCCCCAGCGGGACACGGCAGGACCGGGAGUUCCAGGCACAGAAUGUCACCAAGUGCCUUAAUCGAUAUUCUGAUCAAUAAAUGCCCAAAGAAUGCCAGCAGCACCAGAUCCCUGGGCUCUCGAAGGAAUCAAACCAGCCACCUGAGGUGCAGCAGUGCAGCUGGUAAAGGAAUAUACUGAGACCUGUACAAGUCAGUGGAUGUGAGGCUGGACAGAGCUUUAAGGGAGAGAGUUUCUCUUCCAGGUGAGUUCCCACACCACUGAACAGGAAAUCUGGAAUUUCACAGCUCUUGGUGAAUCACAGUCAUUGGGCCUUCAUCUUCCACGAGGAACGUGGGCUGGCUCUGAUCCUCCCCGAGUCUGCUCCGUUGGGAACAAGCACAGGGUCGUUUCCAUGGAAUACUCAGGAGCAGGGAUAAGAUGUUUUCUGGCUUCUUCACAUCUAAGUUAUCAGUGGAAGGCUUUGCCUGCCAUAUACCUGCUUUUAGGCCCCGUGAUGGCCACUGAGAGAGUGAGCAGGUGGAUGUUCUGCUCUCACUGAAGGUCGUGGCAGUGAACCCUGGAUCCAUGGAGUGACUCUGCCUCCAUGCUCAGCUGAGCUGGGUGGCACUGGCCAUUUUUUGGCCCAGGUGACACCAAACCAUGUGCAGCUCACCUUCUACUCCCUGUGCUGUGGGAUUCUUGUUUUCAUGAUGUGGAUGCAGCUUUUUCUCCUGUAGUUUCAGGCAUAACUCAGUUCCUCAGAGUGCUCUCAGCACAAAGGUUGCUCUGCAUCACACCAAGAUAAGGACCAAGGACACUACACCAAGGACAUCACACCUGUUGUCCAAGGGUUACUGAGCAGAGCUGGGACUCGGCUCCUGGACCCAAUUUCCUGUUUUAAGAUCAACUUGGGAAUGUCCCAGCUGGCGCCUGUUGUCCUGAGCCCUUGAGAAUCCCUGAGAGCUGCAGUUGUGAGCAGUUCUGAGACUGAGCUGAGGGGGGCAAAGAUGCACUUCCCACAACAGCCACUUGAAUCAUCAUUAAAACUUCCACCUGAAGCUUCUCAUGUCUCCUUCUCCAUCUCUUCAACAUGUUCAGUGAUUAUUUUCUUCUCCACAGGCACAAUCAUCAGGUAAUUAUUAUUGAACUUGGAGAUUCUCUACAAAAUAAGGCCAUUUCUUAACACAUGACGUGUAUCAAAAUAACACCAAUUCAGACAUUCAGAUAUAAAAAUGUAAAACCAAUCAUAGAACUAAAAGAAAAACAAUUUUAGAACUAAAAAAUGUUGUAGAAGGCGAGGUCUAGAUAGUUAUAAAUCAAAGGCUGCCAACAGCAUGGUACAGCCAGUGUUUGAGGUGUCAACCUGAGCUAUUGGAGAUUAGAUUGGGUUCUCUGGACUUCUGAGGGAUCUUACACAAAUAAUGUGAUUGCUCUUUUCCCGUUUAUGGGAUGUAGAUAACACUCUUUCCUCAAAGAUGCAGAGUGAGGUAAGUACCAGGAAGGUCACAAAGUUCCUGGAAUAUGGGAGUAGAAAAAUGCCCUUGAACUGAGGUUGUGAUGUGCAGAGGUUUGGAUGUGUAGCAGCUCUGUCUCUGAGUUUUCAAUUCAAAGUAGUUUUCAUCUGGUUUUGAGAGCUCCAACUGUAUCCCAGAGGGUUGGAAUGCACAAACCUGGGGGUUUCUGUAUGUUAAAGCCCACUAAAAAAAGCAGUUUCCACACUAAUAUUGUCUCCCUUAAUCUAGCAACGUUAUGCUAAUUUUUAUGUAAUUCUAUUAGGGAAAUAAGAUUACAAAGCUUUUGUGAAGAGCUGUUUAUACUACUUGAUAUUAUUUUAAUUACAUUCCGAUCUCAUUUCGUUUAGUGCUUAGUGCUUGAACGCCAAAUUUUCAAAUUAGAGCAAUUUCAAGUAGCAUUUUCAGGAAUAUCUGCAGCAUUUCAGAUCAUUGAAAGGAUUUGCUGACUCGAGGUGUUGGCACUGAUGAGGUGACAGAAAUAGUGGAGCCCUUGUUCAGCAGCAACCUCACACCAGAGGUGUGGCUGACAGGGAAGGUUCCAGGAUGCACAAAGGAUGGUUUAUCUGGGACACUGGGAGAAGAAUAUUUUAUAGGAUGUUAAGACAUCCACAGGCUUGAUCCGUCAUUUUGCAGCCCUUUAUUUCUAUAUAAUCAUUCUUUGCAUUUCUAUGUGACCACCUGAAAUACUUAAAGUAUUUCUAGUACAUAAUUAUUGUGUACUAAUUGCACACUAACCUGAAUACACUUUCAUACAUUUCAAUAGGAGAAAAGAAGCCCUAGAAUUUUCCUUUUCAAGCUCCACAUUUUAGCCUGAAUUUCUGAUGUUUUAAAUUUGGCAGAGCUAUCAGAGCUCACAGAUUUCCUGCUCUAGAGCUGGAAUUGCUGCUGCAAUGAUCAGAUGUCAGUGCUGCAUGUGGAAAGCCCGUGAACUCAGCUGAGCUGCUUGGCAGUAUCACAGUAUAAAAUUGUUACUCAUGGAAAUUAAUCUUUUGUUAGGAUGACAGUGAGAAAUGAAUUAAAUCAGAAUAAAUUCGGACAUAACAUGGCUUUACCUGGGUAAUUGUACUGCUCACCUGAACUGCUCUGCUGGUUAAAAUCUCCCUGUUCCCACUGAACCUUGUAUUUUGUUCCAGCAGUGCCCUCUGCUGAGAGCAUGGAAUGUGUGUCCCAAAGGCUUUUUUUCUCCAAGGCUCAAGUAUUUUAAAUCCAGUUUUCAAAAAUCUCAGCCUUUACAAAGAUAGAGAAAGAAAAGAUAUAAUGAUAUUUAUGUUGGUUUAUUAAUGUGCAAGUCACACAUUAAAUAAACACAAAAUAUCCUAUAAUGAGCAUGAGUAGUAAUGUCUGCUGUUGUUUAGCUACAUUCUCAUCCAGGAAUUAAGGUGGGAAAAAAGGCAUUUUCCUAACUGCUUAGGCAGGAGCUGAGGGCCAGGUUGGUGACCCAACACUGAUGUUCUUAUUUCAGCUCCAUCAGCCACACACUCCCCUCUCCAAACCCAGAAAAUUCUGCUCUCUGUUUCCUGACUCUCUAAUCCUUUAUCAUCUAAUUUAUUGGUGAGUU